GCAUAUCAAUAAGCGGAGGAAAAGAAACCAACAGGGAUUACCUCAGUAACGGCGAAGUGAAGCGGUAACAGCUCAAAUUUGAAAUCUGGGUCUUUCAGGCUCCGAGUUGUAAUUUGUAGAAGAUGCUUUGGGUGCGGCCCCGGUCUAAGUUCCUUGGAACAGGACGUCAUAGAGGGUGAGAAUCCCGUAUGUGAUCGGUGGCUUGCGCCCGUGUAAAGCUCUUUCGACGAGUCGGGUUGUUUGGGAAUGCAGCUCUAAAUGGGUGGUAAAUUUCAUCUAAAGCUAAAUAUUGGCCAGAGACCGAUAGCGCACAAGUAGAGUGAUCGAAAGAUGAAAAGGACUUUGGAAAGAGAGUUAAACAGUACGUGAAAUUGUUGAAAGGGAAGCGCUUGCAACCAGACUUGCGCGGGGUUGAUCAUCCGGGGUUCUCCCCGGUGCACUCGGCCUCGCUCAGGCCAGCAUCGGUUUCGGUGGUUGGAUAAAGGCCUUGGGAAUGUGACUUCUUUCGGGGAGUGUUAUAGCCCUCGGUGCAAUGCAGCCUACCGGGACCGAGGACCGCGCUUCGGCUAGGAUGCUGGCGUAAUGGUUGUAAGCGACCCGUCUUGAAACACGGACCAAGGAGUCUAACAUCUAUGCGAGUGUUUGGGUGUCAAACCCAUACGCGUAAUGAAAGUGAACGGAGGUGAGAACCCUUAAGGGUGCAUCAUCGACCGAUCCUGAUGUCUUCGGAUGGAUUUGAGUAAGAGCAUAGCUGUUGGGACCCGAAAGAUGGUGAACUAUGCCUGAAUAGGGUGAAAGCCAGAGGAAAACUCUGGUGGAGGCUCGCAGCGGUUCUGACGUGCAAAUCGAUCGUCAAAUUUGGGCAUAGGGGCGAAAGACUAAUCGAACCAUCUAGUAGCUGGUUCCUGCCGA
rnacentral:rRNA from 1 species